ensembl:lncRNA
CUUUCUUAAUCAGUAUUGCUAACUUACAUAGAGUGAUUAAAUGCUUUACUUUGCUUAUUUUCUUUAUCAUUUCUCUAUCUUUUGGCUAUAGGCACUGCUCUAUAUUUGCAUCGUUUUGAAAUGCAGGGUAAAAUAUGCUUAUUUCUUCAGUUGGUGUCUGUAUACUUCCUGUUAACCCUGUCAGUUGGCAAAGCUUCUGGUGUCAUAUAGCAGAUUUGAACAAAAUGUCACUGUUUAAAUUUAAGCAGAAUGUCUUUGCUCCAUCUGAGCUUCCUAGAUGUGAGCGGGUUCCAUUUAGUUCACUGGUUCUUGAGCGGACAAAGGUUGGAGAGUUGUUUAAACAGUGUGCAAGUGAGUUGAAAGAAGCCAAACUGCUGAACAUAAUUCAACUGUGUCCAAAAAAAAAAAAAAAAACACAGAUGAUUGAUAAUGGAGAAGUAACCGGGGGCUUGGGAGGGCAAAGAUGGAUCUUGUUAGCAGCCUGUUGGAACCAGAACCAACAAAAAGAGCAAUUGUUGCCAAGUUUUUCUCACAUAGAGAAUGGAGGUGAGAGGGGUGCUGUUGGCGUUGUGCAAUAUGAGAAGAGAACAAAUGAAUCUUAAGGAAGUGCGUUUAGCAAUUGCAGAAGCAGGUAUGCCGUGGGAUCCUGAUAAAUGAGAUGGGGAUGGUUGGGAUUUGGUGUGUUCUGUAGAGUCUGGUUCCUCAGAUUGAGUUUUGAGUGUAAAACCAUUGUGGAGAAAGAGUUGAAUUUGAUGCUGCUGGGCAGCCAGUGAGGAAGGAUGUGGUAGAGCCUUGUACUUGGUAUGAACUAAAUUAGAUAAUGGAGCAGUUUAAAGGCUAGGGGAACCUCGGAUUUUUGUGGGUGGUGUGUUUGUAUGACCAGGGAGUACUCUGUAUCACUUUAAAUGUAGGAGAUGCUAAAAGGGUUUUUAUCUUGCACAAAGGUGUCCAGGCUAACAUUUGAAGUAAUGACAGGGACAAUAGUUAGUUAACCAUGGCCACUCAAGGACAUAAUGCGAAGUACUCUACAGAAAAUGACUAGUAAUGAAUCAAGGAGGAAGGGAUGAAAUGGGCCUUGUUUUCCUGGGCGAUGCUGGCACUUUGAUCAGAACACUUGGUUGGUUGCAGCGAGGAAUGGAGUGAUAAAAAUUGCCCCACCAGUGUAUAUGAAUGUGAUCAUGACUUUCAGUCAAUGAAACUAGGAACACCCAUAGUGAAGUCACUUAAAAAAGUAAAUAAAAGAAAAAGAAAAAAAGAAACCCAGAAAUUAGUGCUCUUGGGGUAUGGGACCCCUGUGGAAGUGCAGGAAACCGAGGUACCCACAGCCCUUUUAGGGAACGUGAAAGCUGGUUUUCUCUUAGUGAAAUGCUUACAGCUUUGCUGAAAAACAGUUCGUCUUAAGAUGAGACUGUUGGCGUACUGAUCCAGGACUCGCAGAGACUUGAUAAACAAGGGGUUGAACAAACCUAACAGGCAAGUGCAAAAUUUUAAAGCAGCAGUUCUAGAAGCAACUCGGUCUUCAGCACCUCCUCUGAAGCCUCGACGGGACUUUACAUCUGCUCAUGGAGGGCCCCCUGUGAGUGGAUCGACUGUUCCGGGGGAACAGGAGGAUUGGGAGCUGUUUUCUGACUUGCAUCCUUGGAAAGUAACUGGGGAAGUAGUUCAGCAUGAACAGACUGAAACUAUGGUCCACCUCCGGUGCAAUGGGUAUGGAAGGCCCUUUGACGCCUUGUGGCGCUUAGAAUAAUUUGGAGAAACUGGUCCUCCUGAAUUCUAAAAUCCUUCAUUUCCACUGGAUUUGAGGUCUCUUCAAUGAAUGGAAACCCUAAGGCUUUUAAAGGACAGCCCCUAAUUAUUACCCUUUUGGGAGGGAAACAAGUUGUAGCUGUGCAAACACAACUGGAAAUGAAAAUAGGGAAUCUCUCUGGUUGUGUUCUGUUACGUACUCUGGGAUAAGAGCAAUCAAAAUUAGAAUAGAUGUUUUGGAAGGACUGGCCUUGAAUCUCUCUGAUAGCCAAUACCAAUAGGAUGUAAAGAAUUAGGUUAGUGCCCAAACAGUUUUAGUGAGAAGUAUCUUUUGAUUUCUUUAUGAAAGCCACCUGUAUCAAUUCUAGCUGUAACAAAAUAAGUGACCAUGAAAAAAUGUAGAGUGGAAUAGCUCAGAAAUAGGUGGCACUUCUCCCUUGGUUCCUCCUUGAACCCUGGCCAGGUUUUGGGAGAAAACCAACAGGAGACAGAGGAAACCAGAUGUUCCGCCUGACUGUUUCAUAGAUUGGUUUGUUUAGUGGUACAAAAGCUGGACCUGCUUGCAGUGACGAUGGAGACCUCGACUGCGGGGUGGACGCACUGCCGUAGGCCUUCCCAGUUGCCGGGACGGGUUCUCCAGAUCCUCGCUGCAACCAGGGCUCCCCAGCAGCUGCGGAUCUGGAUGGUGGUCAGAGUAGUAGAGGAGUGAUUGGUAGCUAAACUCAAAGUUACAGUACUGCUCAGGUUUGAAAAGACCCUUCAAGAUCAUCAAGUCCAACCACAACCUAACUAGAUUACCUUAACUCUUAACAACUAUGUUAGCUCUAUUUUUUUUUUUUUUGCAUCAUUUUGAUAUAGACAGUAAAGCUUAUCCCUUUAGUUGAUGUCUGUGUCUUUUCUGUUGUCCCUGUCAAUGGCAAAAUGAGUUCCUCUGUCCUGGUUCCUUCUUCAGUUCUGCUUUUUGAGAGCCCAGCUGUCAGGAAUUCUGAAAUACAUGAACUCAAUCAGUCAGGGCAAGAGGGCUCUAGAAUAAUUGGUAAGGUGUGCCAUCACCAGCUGCUUCACUUUACUCCCCUUGUCUGUAGCCUUUUUUCACCUGUCCUGCUUUUUUCAGUAUUUCAUGUAAUGACACUGGGGGCCAGCUGGUUAAUGCUGGUGCACAGUGUCCAGGAGCUGCCUAUCUUAGUUGUUGAGCUUCUAGCAGUCUUAGCUAUUCUCAUGUGAGUUCCAGCUCUCUGAGAGGCAGGUAUUCUCUAUCUCUUUACUGUGCUGUUUCCUCAACUGUCUACUAUUUCCUAUGUGAUUUCUGAUUCUAGGUGAUGGAAGAGAGCUUUCUGCUCUUUGUCGAAGCCAGACGUGAGUGCCUGCCGCUAAGGACUCAGACUUGUUCUUUC